rnacentral:lncRNA from 1 species
CUCACAGAAGGGCCCCCGCUAGCCACACCCCCCGUGGUGGGACGACUCUGCUCUCUGGCUGGACAGGACCUGCUGGAGCCACCUGAGUGGCCACAGUGGUCACUGAGCAAACCUCAGACACCCAGGGAGCUGCAGCAUGGGCACCCCGAUGAGCACAGGCCACAAGCCAAUAUUUGCCCAGGCAGGCAUGCGCCUGACCCCUCUGCCUGCUUUUCCACCCCAAAGUCUGUGCUGCUGAUCUCCCGAGCUGGAGGAGCCUGCGGGUGUUCCAUAUGAAUCAUGGGCACUCAGCCCUCCUGGAGGCCAGCCCCUGCCUAGGAAGCACUGCUCUCCAAAUCCCUCUCUCCCUCAUGCACAGUUCCACCAUUUGGGAGUCACUCCUUUAGCUAGAUCACAGUGUCUCCAAAAGCUGUAAAGGUUACACUUAAAGACACCAACACAGGGCAGGUGUGGGCCCUGAUAAGAGGGUCGGUCUGCCCAGGUGAGGCAGAUAUGAGGCUCGGUAGCAAGGCUGGGUCUAACCCCUCUGAGGAGGCAACUUCCCAGCAACCUGCCCGGCUGAGGCAGCAGCUAAGUGGGCUCACUGAUGACAUCCCCUGGAACCCAGGUCAUUUCAGCCAUGAGAAGUGGACACUCAGAGAUGUACUGAGGUCCCCUGGCAGUCACCCUGCAGACCCUGUCUGAAAGCCUGGACUUCAGCCCCUGGGUUUCGGGGAGCCAAGGAGGGUCUUGAGGAAAACGGGCACAGUGAGAUUUCAGUGUGACUUAGAUGGGGCUGGACAAGAGGGGCAAGACUGGAGGGGUGACCAAUUAGGAGGGAAUGCGGGAACGUGGGAGACAGGGGGCGGCCUGGGCUUGGGCCGCCAGAGGGAACAAGGUCAGGGAGGACCCUAGGGGUGGUGAGAUUUCAGGGGAGGGCAGGGGUGAGUGUGACCCCCACGUGUCUGGCCUGGCUGCCUGGGUGGCAGUCCUGAGCCUGAGGACAUAAGACAGACUUGGUCUCGUGGUGACUGGGGUGGGGGACAUGGGGACUCCGA